UACGUAGGGUGCGAGCGUUGCCCGGAUUUAUUGGGCGUAAAGGGCGCGUAGGCGGCUCGGCACGUCCGUUGUGAAAUCGCUCGGCUCAACUGGGCGAGGUCAGCGGAUACGGUCGAGCUUGAGCCAGCUAGGGGGCAAUGGAAUUCCCGGUGUAGUGGUGGAAUGCGUAGAUAUCGGGAGGAACACCGGUGGCGAAGGCGGGUCUCUGGGCCGAUACUGACGCUGAGGAGCGAAAGCGUGGGGAGCAAACAGG
rnacentral:rRNA from 1 species